ACGAACGCUGGCGGCGCGCUUAACACAUGCAAGUCGAACGAGAACCUCGGAGCUUGCUCCGGGGGGAGAGUGGCGAACGGGUGAGGAACACGUGAGAAACCUGCCCCGAAGACCGGGAUAACACCGGGAAACCGGUGCUAAUACCGGAUGCCCUCACGGGAUCGCAUGGUCCCAUGAGGAAAUGGAUUCCGCUUCGGGAUGGUCUCGCGGCCUAUCAGCUUGUUGGUGGGGUAACGGCCCACCAAGGCUUCGACGGGUAGCUGGUCUGAGAGGAUGUCCAGCCACACUGGGACUGAGACACGGCCCAGACUCCUACGGGAGGCAGCAGUGGGGAAUCUUGCACAAUGGGCGAAAGCCUGAUGCAGCGACGCCGCGUGCGGGAUGACGGCCCUCGGGUUGUAAACCGCUUUCAGCAGGGACGAAACUGACGGUACCUGCAGAAGAAGCCCCGGCCAACUACGU
rnacentral:rRNA from 1 species